UAGUGUGAAAAUGAAAAAUAG
ensembl:piRNA 21ur-3974 ncRNA